rnacentral:rRNA from 1 species
UACGAAGGGUGCAAACGUUGCUCGGAAUUAUUGGGCGUAAAGCGUGCGCAGGCGGUUUUGUAAGCCAGAUGUGAAAUCCCCGGGCUCAACCUGGGAAUGGCAUUUGGGACUGCAAGGCUUGAGUGCGGCAGAGGAGACUGGAAUUCCUGGUGUAGCAGUGAAAUGCGUAGAUAUCAGGAGGAAUACCGAUGGCGAAGGCAGGUCUCUGGGCUGACACUGACGCUCAUGCACGAAAGCGUGGGGAGCAAACAGG